rnacentral:rRNA from 1 species
UACGUAGGGGGCAAGCGUUGUCCGGAAUCAUUGGGCGUAAAGAGCGCGUAGGCGGCCCUGUAAGUCCGCUGUGAAAGUCAAGGGCUCAACCCUUGAAUGCCGGUGGAUACUGCAGGGCUAGAGUCCGGAAGAGGCGAGUGGAAUUCCUGGUGUAGCGGUGAAAUGCGCAGAUAUCAGGAGGAACACCGAUGGCGAAGGCAGCUCGCUGGCCCGGUACUGACGCUGAGGUGCGAAAGCGUGGGGAGCAAACAGG